CAUUACCGAGUUUUCAACUCCCAAACCCCUGUGAACAUACCAUACUGUUGCCUCGGCGGUGCCUGUUCCGACAGCCCGCCAGAGGACCCCAAACCCAAAUUUCUUUGAGACGUAUUCUGAGUAACCGAUUAAAUAAAUCAAAACUUUCAACAACGGAUCUCUUGGUUCUGGCAUCGAUGAAGAACGCAGCGAAAUGCGAUAAGUAAUGUGAAUUGCAGAAUUCAGUGAAUCAUCGAAUCUUUGAACGCACAUUGCGCCCGCUAGUAUUCUGGCGGGCAUGCCUGUUCGAGCGUCAUUUCAACCCUCAAGCCCCCGGGCUUGGUGUUGGGGAUCGGCGAGCCUCUGCGCCCGCCGUCCCCUAAAUUUAGUGGCGGUCACGUUGUAACUUCCUCUGCGUAGUAGCACACUUAGCACUGGGAAUCAGCGAGGCCACGCCGUAAAACACCCAACUUUAGAAUGUUUGACCUCGAAUCAGGUAGGACUACCCGCUGAACUUAAGCG
rnacentral:rRNA from 1 species